GAGCUCCUUUUUGGGUUCUGGCAAUUCAGUCUUGGUGGAGAAGUAAGUUACCUUUGACUUUGACUUAUUAUCAUGAUUUUAUGUUCAUAUAAUGAUUUUCCGCAUCCUCACCAUUUUUCCCAUAUUUAUCAAUGGGAUUAUAUAAAUCCAGAAUUUGCAACAGAUCUCAAAACUCGUGGGAUAAACACAUAGAGCUGGAGGCAACCUUUGACAGUUUUCAUUCUCAAGCUAGAUUGGGUUAGUUUCAUGGUAGAGCUAUUGGAGUUGAUAUUUGUUAAGCUUUGGCCUGCAUUGCAACAAAAGACCAGCAGUAAAAAUUCAGCUCUGUCAAGCAGCAGCAUGUUCUGAAGUGAAGAAAUGAAGCUGGUCCGAAUGCAGCAACUUAUUUUGAGUGUUUUGUUCCUAUGUAACUUUGUCUAGUUCUUUUGUAAUUUGACAGCAAAGUUAGUAGGAUGAUUUGAUUGAUUUGUGUUGAUGUAAUAGCUAGUAUGUUAGCUUCUUUUAUGUACAAGUUAAGCAUGUUUUUGUUUAUGUAUUAAGUGGGAGCAGUUAACUAUUUGGUAAA
rnacentral:lncRNA from 1 species